GGAUAAAGAGAAUGGGAGCCAUG
rnacentral:misc_RNA from 1 species